UGGCUCAGUUGGUAGAGCAUGGUGCAUGCAACACUAACGGUUGUGGGUUCAAUUCCCAC
rnacentral:tRNA from 1 species